rnacentral:rRNA from 1 species
GCCCAAGUUGACAAACAACGGCGUAAAGAGUGGUUAGGGACUUAUUAAACUAGAGCCGAACGCUUUCAGAGCUGUUAUACGCACCCGAAAGUAUGAAACCCAAUCACGAAAGUAGCUCUACUCACCCUGAACCCACGAAAGCUAGGAAA